ACAGAAGGAGGAAGGUCAGCAGCCCCGACAGCCGACAGUCACAGCAGCUCUGACAAGAGCGUUCCUGGAGCCCAGCUCCUCUCCACAGAGGACAAGCAGGCAGCAGAGACCAUGGGCCCCCCCUCAGCCGCUCCCCGUGGAGGGCACAGGCCCUGGCAGGGGCUCCUGAUCACAGCCUCACUUUUAACCUUCUGGCACCCGCCCACCACUGUCCAGUUCACUAUUGAAGCCCUGCCGUCCAGUGCUGCAGAGGGAAAGGAUGUUCUUCUACUGGCCUGCAAUAUUUCAGAAACUAUUCAAGCCUAUUAUUGGCACAAGGGGAAAACGGCAGAAGGGAGCCCUCUCAUUGCUGGUUAUAUAACAGACAUUCAAGCAAAUAUCCCAGGGGCCGCAUACAGUGGUCGAGAGACAGUAUACCCCAAUGGAUCCCUGCUGUUCCAAAACAUCACCCUGGAGGACGCAGGAUCCUACACCCUACGAACCAUAAAUGCCAGUUACGACUCUGACCAAGCAACUGGCCAGCUCCACGUACACCGUGAGUGAUUCCCCCAUACCUCUGGGUGCUGGCG
rnacentral:lncRNA from 1 species